rnacentral:rRNA from 1 species
CCUACGGGAGGCAGCAGUGGGGAAUAUUGGACAAUGGGCGAAAGCCUGAUCCAGCCAUGCCGCGUGUGUGAAAAAGGUCUUCGGAUUGUAAAGCACUUUAAGUUGGGAGGAAGGGCAUUUACCUAAUACGUAAGUGUCUUGACGUUACCGACAGAAUAAGCACCGGCUAACUCUAUGCCAGCAGCCGCGGUAAU